UAAGAUAAUACUAUUGGCAAAGAAGUUUAGAGAGAGAAGCUCUCCCUUCUCUCUAACUUUACUGUUUCAUUCCCUCAUCUUCUCCGCCAGUCUCGGCGCACGUUAGUUAACGUCGCCGAGCUGGUUUUCAUGGCGAGAGGCAAAGGUCGCGGUAGGGGUAGGCCUCGUAAAAUACCAAUUACAACAAUCGAUCACAUCAUCUCAACAAUAAAUCACCCACAAACUGUUCCCAGUGAAGAAGGUCCAAAUCCGGUAACUGUUCCAUUGAGUACUGUUCCAUUGAAGCAACCAGAGGAGGUUUCUGAACAAACAGAAGUUACGGAGCUUCCUCAACCUCAGAUUAUACAAGGCGAUGGAGGUAAUGACCACAUGCAGACAUCAGUCCAACCACCUGACCCUGAAACAGUGAAGGUGACCAAUG
rnacentral:lncRNA from 1 species